rnacentral:rRNA from 1 species
UACGAAGGGGGCUAGCGUUGUUCGGAAUUACUGGGCGUAAAGCGCGCGUAGGCGGAUAUUUAAGUCAGGGGUGAAAUCCCGGGGCUCAACCCUGGAACUGCCUUUGAUACUGGAGAUCUUGAGUCCGGGAGAGGUGAGUGGAACUGCGAGUGUAGAGGUGAAAUUCGUAGAUAUUCGCAAGAACACCAGUGGCGAAGGCGGCUCACUGGCCCGGUACUGACGCUGAGGUGCGAAAGCGUGGGGAGCAAACAGG